GGAAUAUUGCACAAUGGGCGCAAGCCUGAUGCAGCAACGCCGCGUGAGCGAAGAAGGUCUUCGGAUCGUAAAGCUCUGUCCUCAGGAACGAAGAAGUGACGGUACCUGAGGAGGAAGCCCCGGCUAACUACGUGCCAGCAGCCGCGGUAAUACGUAGGGGGCGAGCGUUAUCCGGAAUUAUUGGGCGUAAAGAGUACGUAGGCGGUUCUGUAAGCGUGAGGUGAAAGCCCGGGGCUUAACUCCGGUAAGCCUUUCGAACUGCAGGACUUGAGUGCUGGAGGGGAAAGUGGAAUUCCUAGUGUAGCGGUGAAAUGCGUAGAUAUUAGGAGGAACACCAGUGGCGAAGGCGACUUUCUGGACAGUAACUGACGCUGAGGUACGAAAGCGUGGGGAGCAAACA
rnacentral:rRNA from 1 species